rnacentral:rRNA from 1 species
AUGGGGGCGGGCGGCGCAGCCAAAUGCCGGCGACAGUGUGCCUUUGGGCCAAUGGGGCACCACCGGGGAGGGUGGUGGGCAUUCAUGUUACUUAUGUUUAUCAUGAUUCCUGAAUGUGUGGCUGAUAAGUUGUUGCACAUCACCACUGCAGCGACGGGGAAAAUCGCAACAAAAACAGAUGUUUUCAGCUUUGGGGUGGUGUUGAUGGAGCUGAUAACCGGAAUGACCGCCAUCGACGAGAGACGCAUCGACGAGGAACCCCGGUAUCUGGCCUCCUGGUUCGGCCAGAUAAGGAAGGACGAAGAGAAGUUCAGGGCAGCCAUCGACCCUACCCUGGAUAUCACCGACGAGAUCUUCGAGAGCAUCUCGGUGAUCGCGGAGCUCACCGGGCACUGCACCUCCCGAGAGCCCUUGUGGCAGCCGGACAUGGGGCAUGUUGUGACGUUGCUAGGCCCGAUGGUGGAGAAAUGGAAGCCGUCGAGCAGCGAGACCGAGGACUACACGGACAUCGGCCUGGACCUGCCGCUGGUCCAGAUGGUGAAGGAGUGGCAGGAGUCGGAGGCGAGCAUGACCGACUACAGUAUCCUAAGCCUGAGCCUCGAGGACAGCAAGGGCAGCAUCCCCACCUGGUCUGCUGGGUUCGCCGAGUCCUUCACCUCCGCCGAUGGCCGGUGA